GUGAGGAAUAUUGCGCAAUGGGGGCAACCCUGACGCAGCGACGCCGCGUGAGUGAGGAAGGCCUUCGGGUCGUAAAGCUCUGUCAGCAGGGAAGAAGUGCAUGGUGGCUAAUAUCCAUUGUGUUUGACGGUACCUGCAAAGGAAGCACCGGCUAACUCCGUGCCAGCAGCCGCGGUAAUACGGAGGGUGCGAGCGUUGUUCGGAAUCACUGGGCGUAAAGGGCGCGCAGGCGGUUUUAUAAGUCAGAUGUGAAAGCCCACGGCUUAACUGUGGAAGAGCAUUUGAAACUGUAAGACUUGAGUACCAGAGGGGAAGGUGGAAUUCCCGGUGUAGAGGUGAAAUUCGUAGAUAUCGGGAGGAAUACCGGUGGCGAAGGCGACCUUCUGGCUGGAUACUGACGCUGAGGCGCGAAAGCGUGGGGAGCAAACAGGAUUAGAAACCCGAGUAGUCC
rnacentral:rRNA from 1 species